GGGUUUGAUCCUGGCUCAGAACGAACGCUGGCGGCGUGGAUUAGGCAUGCAAGUCGAGCGAGAAAGGGAUUCUUCGGAAGCCCGAGUAAAGCGGCGAAAGGGUGAGUAAUACAUGGAUAACCUACCCCUGAGAGGGGGACAACACCUGGAAACGGGUGCUAAUACCCCAUGAGACCACGGGUUCACGGACCUGUGCUCAAAGAUGGCCUCUAUUUAUAAGCUUUCGCUCAGGGAGGGGUUCAUGGCCUAUUAGCUUGUUGGUGGGGUAACGGCCUACCAAGGCUAUUAUGGGUAGCAGGGCUGAGAGGUUGUUCUGCCACACUGGGACUGAGACACUGCCCAGACUCCUCCGGGAGGCUGCAGUCGAGAAUCUUUCGCAAUGCGCGCAAGCGUGACGGAGUGACGCCGCGUGGACGAUGAAGGCCUUCGGGUUGUAAAGUCCAAUCGCAGGGGAAGAACGGUGGGAGGGAAAUACUCUGCCCAUUAGACGUUACCCUGGUCGAAGCGCCGGCUAAACACGUGCCAGCAGCCGCGGUAAUACGUGUGGCGCAAGCGUUGUUCGGAAUCACUGGGCAUAAAGAGUGCGUAGGCGGUGUCGUAAGUCGGGUGUGAAAGCCCUCGGCUCAACCGAGGAAUUGCAUCCGAAACUGCGGCGCUAGAGUACGGUAGGGGGGAGUGGAAUUCCUGGUGGAGCGGUGAAAUGCGUAGAUAUCAGGAGGAACGCCGGUGGCGAAGGCGACUCUCUGGCCCGUUACUGACGCUGAGUGCACGAAAGCUAGGGGAGCAAACAGGAUUAGAUACCCUGGUAGUCCUAGCUGUAAACGAUGGGCACUAGGUAGUGGGAGUUACCGACAUUCUCACUGCUGUAGCAAAUGUAUUAAGUGCCCCGCCUGGGGAGUAUGCUCGCAAGGGUGAAACUCAAAGGAAUUGACGGGGGCUCACACAAGCGGUGGAGCAUGUUGUUUAAUUCGAGGCUACGCGAAGAACCUUACCUGGGCUUGAAAUGGUAGGGAUAACUCCUGUGAAAGCAGGGGGAUUGCUCUUCGGAGUGUAACCUACCACAGGUGCUGCAUGGCUGUCGUCAGCUCGUGUCGUGAGAUGUUGGGUUAAGUCCCGUAACGAGCGAAACCCCUGUCCCUAGUUGCCAGCGGAUAGAGCCGGGGACUCUAGGGAGACUGCCGGUGUUAAACCGUGAGGAAGGUGGGGACGACGUCAAGUCAUCAUGGCCUUUAUGUCCAGGGCUACAAACGUGCUACAAUGGCCGAUACAAAGGGAUGCAAUGCCGCGAGGUGGAGCAAAUCCCAAAAAAAAUCGGCCCCAGUUCAGAUUGAAGGCUGCAAUUCGCCUUCAUGAAGUUGGAAUCGCUAGUAAUCCCGUAUCAGCCAUGACGGGGUGAAUGUGUUCCUGAGCCUUGUACACACCGCCCGUCAAGCCACCUAAGCAGGGCGCACCCGAAAUCGUUAACCCAACCCGCAAGGGAGGGAGGCGCUGACGGUGAGCUUUGUGAGGGGGACUAAGUCGGAACAAGGUA
rnacentral:rRNA from 1 species